rnacentral:rRNA from 1 species
UACGAAGGGGGCUAGCGUUGCUCGGAAUUACUGGGCGUAAAGGGCGCGUAGGCGGCACUGUUAAUCAGGCGUGAAAGUCCUGGGCUCAACCUGGGAACUGCGCUUGAUACGGCAGAGCUAGAGGAUGGAAGAGGCUCGCGGAAUUCCCAGUGUAGAGGUGAAAUUCGUAGAUAUUGGGAAGAACACCGGUGGCGAAGGCGGCGAGCUGGUCCAUUACUGACGCUGAGGCGCGACAGCGUGGGGAGCAAACAGG